GACGAACGCUGGCGGCGUGCCUAAUACAUGCAAGUAGAACGCUGAAGGAGGAGCUUGCUUCUCUGGAUGAGUUGCGAACGGGUGAGUAACGCGUAGGUAACCUGCCUGGUAGCGGGGGAUAACUAUUGGAAACGAUAGCUAAUACCGCAUAAUAGUAGAUGUUGCAUGACAUUUGCUUAAAAGGUGCAAUUGCAUCACUACCAGAUGGACCUGCGUUGUAUUAGCUAGUUGGUGGGGUAACGGCUCACCAAGGCGACGAUACAUAGCCGACCUGAGAGGGUGAUCGGCCACACUGGGACUGAGACACGGCCCAGACUCCUACGGGAGGCAGCAGUAGGGAAUCUUCGGCAAUGGACGGAAGUCUGACCGAGCAACGCCGCGUGAGUGAAGAAGGUUUUCGGAUCGUAAAGCUCUGUUGUAAGAGAAGAACGAGUGUGAGAGUGGAAAGUUCACACUGUGACGGUAUCGUACCAGAAAGGGACGGCUAACUACGU
rnacentral:rRNA from 1 species